UCUAGGGUAGUAUAAUCUAGUACAAUUUGUUUACACCAAAUAAUUGGCCAUCAACCCCCCCUAGGA
rnacentral:tRNA from 1 species